CUUGACUGUUUAGCUGCCUGCGUGCAGGUGCAAAACAUUGAAGAGCUAAUGAGGACAGACUGCAUAAAGGAGUGGAGCGAGCAGUGUGUUCAUUGGAAAUGCCACCAAGGGUCAGUCCCCUUAAGGAUGCCCAACAGAAUGUCCGAUUAGAUGUGAAAUACAUCAAUGCAGUGAAAGGCGCCUGUGACAAGAGACUCCAACCCUGAUGGUCCCAUUGAGAGCGAGCACGUUGACACCAGGAAUGCUGGGCCCUCGAACAAACCCAACAUCAACAGAGAGGUACAUCCAUGAUUACCACUUAGCUUUAUACUUAGCAUCUUUCUGAAUCACUAGCUGUUGCCUCUGUUUUUCUUCAAGCAGAUACAUGGAUGAUGAAAGUAUAUUAUGAUGAAUAUCUAUUGUGAACUAGAGAAUGCAAUUCCUGAAGAAAUUGCUAGUGGGAAUGCUUUAUGCUGAAAUGUAA